ensembl:piRNA 21ur-3261 ncRNA
UGAUCACUAGGUUGACAAAAA